rnacentral:rRNA from 1 species
AUACGUAGGGGGCGAGCGUUGUCCGGAAUUACUGGGCGUAAAGGGAGCGUAGGCGGACUGCUAAGUGAGAUGUGAAAUACCCGGGCUUAACCUGGGGGCUGCAUCUCAUACUGGCGGCCUUGAGUGUGGGAGAGGAAAGUGGAAUUCCUAGUGUAGCGGUGAAAUGCGUAGAUAUAUGGAAGAACACCAGUGGCGAAGGCGCUUCACUAGCCCGAAACUGACGCUCAGUCACGAAAGCGUGGGUAGCAAAUAGGAUUAGAUACCCUAGUAGUCCACGCUGUAAACGAUGACAACUAAAUAUUGCCGCGAGGCAGUGUUGAAGCUAACGCAUUAAGUUGUCCGCCUGGGGAGUACGGUCGCAAGACUGAAACUUAAAGGAAUUGGCGGGG